UGAGAAAAUGAGUAGUAAAGUAUUGGGCCAAAUGAAUGUAAAAACUCCAUGGGAUACAAUUGACAAACAUAUUCUGUAUAGAUGUAGGGAAACCUAUGAUAUAAAUGUCAUGCGAAUUGAUCAGAGAUACGAGGAUACGGCAGGUAAAAACAUAUAACCCCUUACUCAAAAGACAAGAAUCAGAAUUCACUCUGAAUGCUCGUUGAUUCAAAGCUCUCCAAAAGGCAAUUGCUACUUUCUCAAUUACCAGCAUAUUUACAAUUACCUUGUGCAACUACUAUAAGCUGCUAUCAUUGAGACAGCAACAUCACUGGUCAUGACAGCACGCAUUUAACAGGUUGCAGGACAACAGCAUUGCAUUAGCACUUCAGACAGUAAGGCUCAUAUAUGAAUUUGUCUUCUGACCCUCUAAUUUAGAAUAAAGCACAGAUUUCAAACGCAACAACUUGAAGUAUUUAUCUCUUCUUGAUUGAAAUAUUAAAAUAGCAAUAUAUACACAGAAACAGAGUGGCGACAUCAAAUUGGCACUGUAGAGAGUUAUAAAUAACAAACUUAACGUCACCCCAAACAAACAUCUUUGCAUAAUUUUCUAUUAGAUGUGGAUGCUUAAAUCCUUCGGGCAACAGAGACAGAACAUCCUCCAAAUCUAGAGAAGGAAAGAACUAAAAAGGAUCAGAGAUGAGAUGACUUGCACCAGAUGUCCAUACUCUAUUUCAAGCAGAAAAGACUAGAGAGAAAAGGACCAAAAAGCAAACACGUGGUGAUCUGCAAAAGCAGGAACUGAUUUCAAUGUAUUGAUUGAUGAGAAGAUAACAACUCAGUCCGUAAGAGCAAUCAUUGCUGCAAUUUACAGUUGCUAAUUCACAAAAGUUGCUAUUCUGAACAUUUCUUAACUGGAGAAAUAAUGUGCAGCCACACUUGUGUCUCCAGUCCCCGCUCAUUUUUUUUCAAGGUAAAACAUGAGACCCUUUUUAAACAAAUAAUAAACUUAUUCACAGAAAGAAACUUCAUACUUCAAAAGCAGGGUAAACAAACUCAAGUACCCCAAAGUAGAAAAGUAAAACAAGAUAUAGUGGACUCAUCACCAAUCUAUGGGAACUUAUUACAUAAAGAAUUUCUCUCCAAAAACAUAUCAACACGUAUGUCCUCGUAAGGUCACAAUUUCCUAUCUAACACAUGCUCAGCUAGUUUUGAAUUUCACUUACAGACAAAACAGAGUUUCCUCUUCCUUUUAUUUCCAUUUAACAAUUUAAUAUUUUCUUUUUACUUCCUCGAAGAUUAGGCAAAAAUGAAAAAACAAGUAAAACAUCUACGGUUCGUUUUUUCCAGAAAACCACUCAGUUUCUAUGAAAACUGAGUUUUGUUACAAAGCAAUCUGGUGUACUACCCUAGUAAGCACUCACCUGAAUUGAAGUCAAACAAUGUGCAGCUCUAAUUGCCCGAGAUACAAGCACUAAACCAAACCUGCAACAGGUUAAUAGAGUUCCUAAGUAACAGCCAAACAAGGCCAGGAAAAGAAACAGAGAAUGAGUGGAAAAAUAAAUAGAAAGAGAAAGCAGAGUAACAGCCAACCAAGGCCAAGAAAAGAAACAGAGAAUGAGUGGAAAAAUAAAUAGAAAGAGAAAGCAGAGAGGGAAAGAAACAAAGCCAUAAAAUUUGAUAUUUACGUCGCCUCCUCCAAGGAAUAUAUUCGUAGCUCAUACAUAACCCGAUGGGCUGCAAUAGGAUGUCUGGUAGGUGAAGUUGCAGCACCCAUGGCAUCAUGGUGAAGUUGUCCUUGAAAACCAGGUUCAGCUUCCAUGUUAGGCAGAAUACAUGCAACACAAGCUGCUAAAAUUGAAAACCAGGAUCAGCUUCCAUGUUAGGCAGAAUACAUGCAACACAAGCGGCUAAAAACCUCCCACAUGGUGAAAAGUGGGCUCCCAUUUCACUGAAAUAGACAAUAUA
rnacentral:lncRNA from 1 species